UACAGAGGAGCCAAGCGUUGUCCGGAUUGACUGGGCGUAAAGCGCACGCAGGCGGCGCUGCGCGUGGGGUGUGAAAGCUCUUGGCUUAACUGAGAGAGGCCAUCCCAUACGGCAGUGCUCGAGCGGUGCAGAGGUCCGCGGAAUUGCCGGUGUAGUGGUGAAAUGCGUAGAGAUCGGCAGGAACACCCAGGGGGAAACCAGCGGACUGGGCAUCAGCUGACGCUCAGGUGCGACAGCGUGGGGAGCGAACCGG
rnacentral:rRNA from 1 species